rnacentral:rRNA from 1 species
AGAGAGAGACAUGCGCGCAUAUCAAUAAGCGGAGGAAAAGAAACUAACAAGGAUUCCCUUAGUAACGGCGAGUGAAGCGGGAAGAGCUCAAAUUUGAAAUCUUCAAGGUUUUACCUUGGCGAAUUGUAGUUUAAAGAAGUGUUUUCUGCUGAAGUUUUGGUAAAAGUUCUUUGGAAUAGGACAUCAUAGAGGGUGAGAAUCCCGUAUUUGACCAUUAUUUUCAGCUUUGUGAUACACUUUCAAAGAGUCGGAUUGUUUGGGAAUGCAGUCCAAAAUGGGUGGUAAAUUUCAUCUAAAGCUAAAUAUUGGCGAGAGACCGAUAGCGAACAAGUACCGUGAGGGAAAGAUGAAAAGAACUUUGAAAAGAGAGUUAAACAGUACGUGAAAUUGUCAAAAGGGAAGCGUUUGACACCAGUGUUGUUUUCUCGAAAAUCAAUUAAAAAUGGCUCGAUUUUGUAUUGCUGAGACCUUAAAAGCUCACUGUACAUUUUUCGUGUCUUUUUUAAUGCACUUUUCGUUUAACAAGUCAACAUCAGUUUCUUUUGUUGUAAAAGGGUCAUUGGAAGGUGGCUUUCUUUUCGGAGAAAGUGUUUAUAGCCUUUGGCCUCUGCAAUCGGAAGAGACUGAGGUCUGCAGCGUAGACUCUUCGGGGUUAGAUACAUUUGUGCUAAGUUAUAGCUUUUUAUAGACAACUUGUUGACUAUAAUUAGUCUUGUAGCUUACUCGCUUAUGCUAUUUUACCUACGCUUAGGAUGUUGAAGAUGUAGCACAUCAU